AAAAACUUAAGCACUUGCAGAUGUCUCUCCUCAGCAAGCUUGCUUAUUGUACCCUGGGAUGGUGACAGGGAUGGGUCACAAGGCUGGGCACAGCUUUGGAUCAGCAUGAGAAGACGUGACUGAUAAAUAAGACACGAGACUGGUUUUAAUGAGGUCCAAAGGGCGAAGGUGAGCAAGAGAGGCUCAGAGGACAGCCCAGUGUCUAAGACGUGGGGACUCUUCUGGCUGACUCCUCUGCUUUGACCGCUGGUUAUGCCAUGGCCUUGGCAGAAGGAGUAGACAAUGCAGUAACCCCACUCUUCAGAUCCGUGCCUUGCACCUGGAAGAGGAGGUACCUGAGGCCAAUAAGAAGUAGAAACACAAAAAGGGCUGGUGGUGUUGAUUGCCAAAAGACAUACCAGGACUAUGGCAGCCAGUCAGCACAGAACAGAAACAUAAAAGCAUUCCAUGUCAAGAGCCGCAAGAACUUUCAGUCACCCCAUCCAGGCACGUGGCAAGGACGCGGGUCUCACUGCUGUUUCUCUUCGUGUUGGCAUGAUGAUUCCCAGACAGACAUGGGGCAAGCUAUUCUGAAAAGAGUACCAGGAGCACUUUGCAGGCAAAGAACGAUGUAA
rnacentral:lncRNA from 1 species